CGCUAAAACACCGGUUCCCGUACGAUCAACGAAGUUAAGCAACGUUGAACCUGGUCAGUACCCAUAUGGGCGACUACUUAGGAAUAUCAGAUGCUGUAUG